rnacentral:lncRNA from 7 species
UAUAGGCAUAGUAGAAGCCUAACAGUUGGAAGCAGAUAAAAAAUAAGGAUGGACAAUGUGUUGUAUAGUGAGCAACAGAAACAAUGGCAAAAUUCAGUCUCAAGGUCCAGUGAAUGGCUGCAUACUUCAAAGACUCUGGGAAUUUCAGACAACAACCAAGUACGUUCUAGUUGCUGUCCAACAACUUUGAGUAUGGAUCUGUUUCUGGGAGACCUUGCCAUGUCACUGCCUGAUGUUUGGAUGAAUAGAGAAGUGUUAACGUAUCCUGCCUUCCCCAUGACAGAUGGAAGUUAUUAAAAUGACACAACUAUGUAGACCUAACCUGAAGUUGUUUUAUUUUAAUUAGACUUGAUAGGAAUGAUCACUGGUUGCAUCAAGUAGUCUCUAGUGGAAUUCAUUGCUUCAUAAUAUCUUUAAUUUUUGCUCCUUUUUCUAAGGCAGAAUGUAGAAAACUAUAUUUCAUCCUUCUUUGGAUAUUGUGUCUAUUUGUAAUUGAAAGAUCUUUAAAAGAAAUAUUUGCUUUGCCUGGUGAAAUCACGUUAUGCCAUUCUCUUUACUUUUUGCUUGCAUUUAGGACUUUGGUUUUGGAGCCCUUCAUUCCAACCUGUAUUUUAACGUAUUCUGUGAAAAAUCAAGAAUUUUUAUUUCAACAUGCAUGGUAUUUUUCACUUACUGCAGCAUGGCUCCAUUUCCAUUUUCAGUGGUUAUCAGAGUCUGUUAACAAACAGGCCCAUCUGCACAUUCUUGAGAUGAAUAGCUUGAUAAAAGCAAUAGAUGUUGAAACUUGUGUGCUGUGUUUACCGUUUUUAAAAUAUUUAUUCCCACAUGUUGAUAUAUCAGUUAUGUAACUAAGAGCCAGGCUAUCCAUGAUUUUUUUUUUUUUGCACAGUCUUUUAUAAGCACACCAUGAUAAUCAUAUAUUGCAUUUACAAUGUAAGAACAUUAUUAAACUGUACUAAUUUGAGAACC